rnacentral:rRNA from 1 species
AUGAACGCUGGCGGCGUGCCUCAUACAUGCAAGUCGAGCGCACAGACGAGGAGCUUGCUCCUCUGACGUUAGCGGCGGACGGGUGAGUAACACGUGGAUAACCUACCUAUAAGACUGGGAUAACUUCGGGAAACCGGAGCUAAUACCGGAUAACAUGUUGAACCGCAUGGUUUAACAGUGAAAGACGGUCUUGCUGUCACUUAUAGAUGGAUCCGCGCCGCAUUAGCUAGUUGGUAAGGUAACGGCUUACCAAGGCAACGAUGCGUAGCCGACCUGAGAGGGUGAUCGGCCACACUGGAACUGAGACACGGUCCAGACUCCUACGGGAGGCAGCAGUAGGGAAUCUUCCGCAAUGGGCGAAAGCCUGACGGAGCAACGCCGCGUGAGUGAAGAAGGUCUUCGGAUCGUAAAACUCUGUUAUUAGGGAAGAACAAAUGUGUAAGUAACUAUGCACGUCUUGACGGUACCUAAUCAGAAAGCCACGGCUAACUACGUG